AACCUCUCAACACACCCCAACCCUAACCUCUCCCCUCACCCCAACCCUAACCUCUCCCCUCACUCCCACCCCAACCCUAACCUCUCUCCCCAUACUCACUCCCACCCCAACCCCCUGCUUUACGAGGAGCGACCCUCUCACAGCACGAUGCCCCCCCAUGGACCCCCCCACCCCCACAAACGGGACCUGCCCCCCCACCUCACCUCGGGGCUAAGGUCAGCCCCCCUGCAGCUUUCCCCGUACCCCUCCCCCCACCACAAGCCCCCCCAGGCCUCCUUGCCCCAUUCUGAGGACAUGGGCUACCCCCCGUGCCCUGGGAUGCACCCUCUCUACCCCCCACAGCCCCCACCUCGAGGAGGAGGAGUGCUCUGUCAGCUUCUAGACCCCCCCAGCGAUGACAGCUUCAGUGUCACCAGCCUGUAGGCACAGGUGUAUUAAAUCUCAACCCUUUUCAGAUUUCUACACUUUUUUUAAGGAGAGACUUUCAGAACAAGAUAAAGGACGAUCAUUUAUCUGCCAGCUCUGGAGAGUAGAGCUUUAGUUCUCCAGCUAUGACAAUCACACACACACACACACACACACACACACACACACACACACACACACACACACACACACACACACACACACACACACCCACCCAGCUGGAAAGAAGGAGUGACAGAGGCUGAGGCUGAACCGAGAGGCUGAGCCUUUCCCUAACCCUAAACCCUACACCCUACACCCUACACCCUGCACUCUGUGUGUUCAAUAGGAGGGAAGUGAACUACGGCAUCAGCUCUUGAAUUACCAGCAUCUGUACAAAGACUCCAACUCACAGACCCAUAAUCUCACCACAACAAUGAAACAAUGGCAUCAACAAGGACUGCAGUAUGGUGACUACAUCCUGUGUUCUGAUGGAAGGACUGCAGUAUGGAGACUACAUCCUGUGUUCUGAUGGAAGGACUGCAGUAUGGUGACUACAUCCUGUGUUCUGAUGGAAGGACUGCAGUAUGGAGACUACAUCCUGUGUUCUGAUGGAAGGACUGCAGUAUGGAGACUACAUCCUGUGUUCUGAUGGAAGGACUGCAGUAUGGAGACUACAUCCUGUGUUCUGAUGGAAGGACUGCAGUAUGGUGACUACAUCCUGUGUUCUGAUGGAAGGACUGCAGUAUGGAGACUACAUUCUGUGUUCUGAUGGAAGGACUGCAGUAUGGAGACUACAUCCUGUGUUCUGAUGGAAGGACUGCAGUAUGGAGACUACAUCCUGUGUUCUGAUGGAAGGACUGCAGUAUGGAGACUACAUCCUGUGUUCUGAUGGAAGGACUGCAGUAUGGAGACUACAUCCUGUGUUCUGAUGGAAGGACUGCAGUAUGGAGACUACAUCCUGUGUUCUGAUGGAAGGACUGCAGUAUGGAGACUACAUCCUGUGUUCUGAUGGAAGGACUGCAGUAUGGAGACUACAUCCUGUGUUCUGAUGGAAGGACUGCAGUAUGGAGACUACAUCCUGUGUUCUGAUGGAAGGACUGCAGUAUGGAGACUACAUCCUGUGUUCUGAUGGAAGGACUGCAGUAUGGUGACUACAUCCUGUGUUCUGAUGGAAGGACUGCAGUAUGGAGACUACAUCCUGUGUUCUGAUGGAAGGACUGCAGUAUGGAGACUACAUCCUGUGUUCUGAUGGAAGGACUGCAGUAUGGUGACUACAUCCUGUGUUCUGAUGGAAGGACUGCAGUAUGGAGACUACAUCCUGUGUUCUGAUGGAAGGACUGCAGUAUGGAGACUACAUCCUGUGUUCUGAUGGAAGGACUGCAGUAUGGAGACUACAUCCUGUGUUCUGAUGGAAGGACUGCAGUAUGGAGACUACAUCCUGUGUUCCACUGUUUUUACUACGAAGGAAAGAGACCCGAGACACUCUGACCCCAAAAAGAUUGGCACGUGUGUGUAUUUGUGUAUGUGUGCGUGUGUGUGACCACGCGGAUGGACUUUUUUGUGUGUGUGUGUGUGUGUGUGUGUGUUUGUUUGGGGUCUAAAGGGGUGGAGCUCUGAAUCUGAUAGGGUGGUAUGAUUGAACAGAGCUUCUCUCCUUUCAUUUACUCUCUCCCUUCUUUUUUCUGUGGUCUUGUGUUGUUUGGUGGUUUUUGUGAUGAACAGUUGUGUAUCUGUCUGUUAAAAUCAUGAUGUAUCUAUGGUGCCAAUACUGAAAUACACUCUGAUCUGGCCAUUGGUAAA